GGACCUCAAUUUCCAUUUCCACCUUCCAAUUUUUUAAGUGUUAUACUAAAAAUAAGUUCUACAACACCUGAGGAGGGAACAACAAACACAAACUCAUCUUUGCCUGCUGUUAAUGCUACAACAACACCAGCUAAUACAACAUAUCCCAUACCAUCUUCAACUACUCCUAUGAACACAACCACCAGCACUCCUA